rnacentral:ncRNA from 1 species
GCAGAAAAUUGCAUUCUCAAAUGUUUUAGCUGGAGUAUCUGAUACCACCUCAGGAUCGACAGCUUCUCGCCAAAGAUCGUCUACAUCUAAUUCAACUGUAUCAGGUGGAUCAUGUCUCGCUGAUUCUUCUGAUUCUACUUGAAUAAAGCCAACGCUGGGUAAAACCAGUUUCCCUUGGUGAUUCAUAAUAAUUUAGCGGAUCGCAUGGCCUUGUGCUAGCGAUAGUCCACUCAAUUUUCUGCCCUAUCAUAGGCGAGAUUGUAAGAUAGAGGCUUACAAUGCCUACAACGGGUAACGGGGAAUUCUGGUUCGAUUCCG